UACGAAGGGGGCUAGCGUUGCUCGGAAUCACUGGGCGUAAAGCGCACGUAGGCGGAUUGUUAAGUCAGGGGUGAAAUCCUGGAGCUCAACUCCAGAACUGCCUUUGAUACUGGCGAUCUUGAGUCCGGGAGAGGUGAGUGGAACUGCGAGUGUAGAGGUGAAAUUCGUAGAUAUUCGCAAGAACACCAGUGGCGAAGGCGGCUCACUGGCCCAUAACUGACGCUGAGGCACGAAAGCGUGGGGAGCAAACAGGG
rnacentral:rRNA from 1 species